rnacentral:lncRNA from 1 species
GGAUGGAUCUGAAUAAGCUUACUACAAUUACCCAAAAUAGGUAUUCUUCUUUUAUUUCAGGAGAGGUGUGACAAUGAUUAACGUAGAAAAUGAUGCGAGGGUAAGGGGUAUUAAGGGAUCAGGAAAAGAGACGCAUGGGAAGUAAGAAGCCUCCAAAACCACCGCGGCCUCCUAGGGGUGGCCGAUCAUUAAGUGAAGCUGAUAUAAAAUUGGUUAGAGAAAUUUCGGAACUUUCAAGGUGAAGGCAUACAAGGAAUGAUAGAAGAAAGAAAUUAGAGAAAAAGAGAGUUGAUAAGGCAUCUUCAUCACAUGCUAGUGUUUUUGCAAUGAUCAUCACCAUUCUCUUCAUCUGUUUCGUAAUCUUUCAAGGUAACCACCCAAGGCUCAUUUGUAUGUUUUAAUCUAUUUUUCUUUGCUUAAGCUAUCCUAUAUAUAUGACCUUCAAUUCAAUGUGUGGAUUAGAUCAAAAACAAAUCAGAUAAUCAUCCCUUGGAUAAAUACAUAUUCUUUGUCCAUUCAGCCCCUCUAAUUACUUGUCUUGGUGAUCUAGCUUUUUCUUUUGUUUAUUACAAUUGAUUAAAUAGACAUAUUAAUUAAUUAUUUGAAUAAGGUAAUUAACAUGCAUAUCAAAUUUUUUGAAAUUUAGAUGUAGUUACCCUACCAAUCUUGAGUUGAAUGUGUAAUAUUAUAUCUAUCACAGAUAUGCUGAAAAGGUUGAAGAAUAUAAUUACUACUUUUGUGUUAAAUUGUAGCAGGUAAAGUUCAUGAUGACAUCAUAUCAAUCUUGUUUCUUUCCUGGACUUAUUAAGCAUCUUGGGUUCUAAUGUAUGAUUGUAAUUGGAUUAGAGUUCUUCAGAUUUGCUUAAUGUAGACUAAGGUUUCUAUAUUUCUCCACCAACAUCACCAUUCAAACAUUGGUUCCAAAAACAUUCCAAGAGUUUCAGAUUUCAAAAAACUUAAUGGAUGAUUUAAGUUCAAUUCUUAAAACUAUUUUGCACAUAAAAAUAAACGAAGGUGUCGGAUACUAGCUUCCCAAGUAUGAGGCCUUGUUUGAAGAACUUUGAGAAAAUUGGUUUGUUCCACAUGAGUUUUACAACAUUCUACUUAUGAUGAUUUUGUUUUUCCUCUGCAAGUAUGUAAUGAAACAACUGCUAUUGAGUUCUGAAUAUGUUUGAUUUUUUCAAAUUUAUCAAAUGUGGUGCACUACAAAUAGACAUGGUUUCUUCAAUCUAAUUAUAUAUGUUAAAUGUUGAAGCAUAUUGACCAGGG